rnacentral:lncRNA from 1 species
CCCUGUCUCAACAUGGUACGCCUCGCUGCAAGAAAGAUAAGAUGCAUGUGAGAAUUGUUAGAAAUAUGGGUUUUGCUCAUGGAGAAUCAUAGCAAAAUUCAAGUGGUUUAAUCUAGUUAGAAGACGGUGAAUUGGAUUUCUUCAGUGUUAGUGAACUUAGAGAGUCUCUGAGUUAGUGGGUCCAGUACAGCCUGUGUCUGCAGAUGAGUUCAGAUUUGAUGAAGUGGGCGAUUGGGAGUCGUUAUGGUUGUCUGAGCUGGGGGAUGACUUGGUGAAAAACAGUUUUAAGAAAGUUAAUCUUAUAGUAAUAUCGGGAACAAUUUGAAAGGACAAAUGGAAAGCUGGGAGAUCGUUUAGGAGGCAAUUUGGGGAAUCUAGGAACAAAGAUGAAAUGGAGACGGAUAAAUUGAAGAGAGACCUGUAAUGGGCCAAUCCACUGGCAUGGAGAUCUCAUCGAAGUAGAGAAGAAGAUGAGCCUGGAGGAUUAGUGUCGCCAUUUAUAUAAAAGUAGAAAAGGAAGAGGUGAAUUCUCUUUCACAGAGGAUAAACUGUCUGGACCCACCCCGUAGCCGAGUGGUUAAGUUCAUGUGCUCUGCUGCGGCGGCCCAGGGUUUCGCUAGUUUGGAUCCUGGGCACAGACAUGGCACCGCUCGUCAGGCCACGUUGAGGCAGCGUCCCACAUACCACAACUAGAAGGACCUGCAACUAAGAUUUACAACUAUGUACCAGGGGGAUUUGGGGAGAUAAAGCAGAAAAAAAACCCCAAAAAAUCCCCCAAAAAACCCUGUCUUCUCUUUGCUGUUUCUACCAUGGCUAGCACAGUGCCUGAGACAUACAGAUACCCGAUAUUGGCUGAAUAAAUGUGUAUUAGAUCCUCAAGUUGAACAUUGUCAUCUCAAACUUCACUUGCCGAAAAUGAGUUCCUUCCUUCUCUCUCCCCUGAAACCAGCCCAUCGCCUGGUUUCCCAUCGUGGUCAAUGUCACCGCCUUUUCUAGGCUUGUAGCCUGUCAGCCCGAGGUGUGAAGGAUAACAUAAAAGCAUAGCUUAUUCCAGGGACAUAGAUCAGACUUGCCCAACUGGACUAGAAGGCCAUAUGGAAGAGGAAGAGUCGACUGGCUGGGUUAUCAGAGGAGGGAGGGAACAGUCUGGAAACCAACCUGGGACUUGGGACUUCAUCCUCAGGUACUUCCUAGUAAGCAACGUCGCUCACGCUUCUCUAAAAGUGCUUCAUGGUACCUGGUAUAAAGUGAAGCUUUUACAUGAGUGUUAAAUUGAAUAGAGUUCAAACCUGGCCAGCUUUUGCUUGAAGCCACAGCUGCUUUGCAUCAAGAGGAGCUUUCCACUGGAGUCAAAGCGACCUCUGGUGGCUACGGGAUAAAAGGCUACAAUCAAAAUGCUGGUGUUCGGGCUGGUGAAGCGAAGGUGUCGGCGCUGGUGACCGGCGCGUGAGGGUAGCAUUGUCUGAAGCCCUUCUCUGUGUUGAGGGAGACCUAUGUUCUGGGUGACACAGUGUAGUGGCGAGGAGCGCAGCCGUGCCCCACUGCCUGGGCCUGUUGAGUAAUCAUAAUAACAACAGCAAGUUACUCAACCUCUCAGUGUCUUGUGACUUCGUCUCUACAUAAGUGUUUGGCUGCUAUUCGCACAAUGAAACUAACUUGAGGAACCACCCAAAAGGAUGGUUUGGAAACGUCUCUCUGACAGUUUCACUCUGAUCGAGUAUUCUUACCGUUGAGGGAUUUACAAAAAUUCAUACUCCCCGCCCACACGUGGGCGGAUAAAUAAUUCCGUGGUGUGAGGUUUGCAAGAAAUCUGCAGUAAUGGUGGUGGGAGGCAGAGCUUGCUCAUUUUUUAUUUUUAAAGAAAUAGAGAGAGGAAGAAUGCCUCGGGAUGACCAAGGAGGGGCCCCCGAGCCAAGCAGGGCUGGGCAGGCUUCGCACUGUGAUGUAUCAUCAUCUUUGUCCUCAAAAUAUCUGGGAAAAGCUGGGAAUGCUGUUAAAUGGGGCACUUCCUGGAGCAGCUCCCUCUGCGGUGAUGAGGCCUUCUGGAGAACUCUUUUCUUCUGAGCUUUCUCAGCAUGUGUGGACAGUUUUUGAACUGUAAACUGCAGAAUUAAGGCUAACUUGUUCUGCUUUUUGAAUCAUCUUGUGCAAAAGGAGACUCUUUUCGUUUCUAAGCAAAUCUGUUACAGAUGGAUAAUUUCUCAAGAAACUAGCCCCGUGCCUGGAACUGGUCAGAUUUUCAGGGUAUAAGGAGGAUCUAUCUGGAUCCUGGUGAUCCUGAAUUCUUGGACUGUUGCCUUCCUGACCCAGCUACCCCAGAGCCCAAAGGGGGAUCUGUACGACAGGAAGGAAAUAUUCCAGCAGGAAGAGGAAUAGUUUGGCCACAAAUCUCAG